AUAGAUACCCUGGUAGUCCACGCCGUAAACGAUGAGUGCUAAGUGUUAGAGGGUUUCCGCCCUUUAGUGCUGCAGCUAACGCAUUAAGCACUCCGCCUGGGGAGUACGGUCGCAAGACUGAAACUCAAAGGAAUUGACGGGGGCCCGCACAAGCGGUGGAGCAUGUGGUUUAAUUCGAAGCAACGCGAAGAACCUUACCAGGUCUUGACAUCCUCUGACAACUCUAGAGAUAGAGCGUUCCCCUUCGGGGGACAGAGUGACAGGUGGUGCAUGGUUGUCGUCAGCUCGUGUCGUGAGAUGUUGGGUUAAGUCCCGCAACGAGCGCAACCCUUGAUCUUAGUUGCCAGCAUUUAGUUGGGCACUCUAAGGUGACUGCCGGUGACAAACCGGAGGAAGGUGGGGAUGACGUCAAAUCAUCAUACCCCUUAUAACCUGGGCUACACACGUGCUACAAUGGAUGGUACAAAGGGCUGCGAGACCGCGAGGUCAAGCCAAUCCCAUAAAACCAUUCUCAGUUCGGA
rnacentral:rRNA from 1 species